GCAGGCUCCCAUCGAAGCCACCCAUGCUCUCGUGUAGCUCUGGGUGGUCAACAGGAAGCCGAGAUUAAAACUUUCACCGACGGUCGCUGUUCAGUUCCAAAUAACUGCUACAGCAACAUUUAGGGGAAGGACACUU